AGUGAACGCUGGCGGUAGGCCUAACACAUGCAAGUCGAACGGCAGCACAGUAAGAGCUUGCUCUUACGGGUGGCGAGUGGCGGACGGGUGAGGAAUACAUCGGACUCUACUUUUUCGUGAGGGAUAACGUAGGGAAACUUACGCUAAUACCGCAUACGACCUACGGGUGAAAGCAGGGGAUCUUCGGACCUUGCGCGAUUGAAUGCGCCGAUGUCGGAUUAGCUAGUUGGCGGGGUAAAGGCCCACCAAGGCGACGAUCCGAAGCUGGGCUGAGAGGAUGAUCAGCCACACUGGAACUGAGGAACGGUCCCGACGCCUACGGGAGGCAGCAGUGGGGAAUAUAGGACAAUGGGCGCAAGCCUGAUCCAGCCAUACCGCGUGGGUGAAGAAGGCAUUCGGGUUGUAAAGCCCUUUUGUUGGGAAAGAAAAGCAGCAGGUUAAUACCCCGCUGUUCUGACGGUACCCAAAGAAUAAGCACCGGCUAACUUCGUG
rnacentral:rRNA from 1 species